AAGUCUUCCUGAGAGCCUUCAGAGGGAGCAUGGCCCUGCCAACACCUUGAUUUUAGACUUCUAGUCUCCAGAAUUGUGAGAUAAUAAAUUUCUGUUGUUUUAAGCCACCCAAAUUUAUGGUAAUUUGUUACAACAGCCCAAGGAA
rnacentral:miRNA from 1 species